UUGAACGCUGGCGGCAGGCCUAACACAUGCAAGUCGAGCGGAUGAAGGGAGCUUGCUCCUGGAUUCAGCGGCGGACGGGUGAGUAAUGCCUAGGAAUCUGCCUGUUAGUGGGGGAUAACGUCCGGAAACGGGCGCUAAUACCGCAUACGUCCUGAGGGAGAAAGUGGGGGAUCUUCGGACCUCACGCUAUCAGAUGAGCCUAGGUCGGAUUAGCUAGUUGGUGGGGUAAAGGCCUACCAAGGCGACGAUCCGUAACUGGUCUGAGAGGAUGAUCAGUCACACUGGAACUGAGACACGGUCCAGACUCCUACGGGAGGCAGCAGUGGGGAAUAUUGGACAAUGGGCGAAAGCCUGAUCCAGCCAUGCCGCGUGUGUGAAGAAGGUCUUCGGAUUGUAAAGCACUUUAAGUUGGGAGGAAGGGCAGUAAGUUAAUACCUUGCUGUUUUGACGUUACCAACAGAAUAAGCACCGGCUAACUUCGUG
rnacentral:rRNA from 1 species